rnacentral:rRNA from 1 species
UAAAAAAUUUUGGCGGUAUUUUAAGCUUAUUAGAGGAAUUUGCUCUGUGAUGGACACAACGCCUUAAUCUUACUUAAUUUAGUAAUUUAAAUCAGUUUGUAUACCACUAUAUUAAUUAUAUUGAAUAGUUAUAUUUAAAAUUUUUUAUAAAAAAAUAUAUUAAGUCAAGGUGCAUCUUAUAAUUAUGAAUGAAGUGAAUUACAUUAAUUUUAAUGUAAUUUUUUACAUGAAAAAAUUAAUUAGGAUUUAAUAGUAAAAUACUAAUAUUAUGAGUAUUUGAAUCAAGCUCUAAAAUAUGCACAUAUCGCCCGUCGCUCUCAGAAGUGAGAUAAGUCGUAACAAAGUAAAAAUACUGGAAAGUGUUUUUUAAAAUGAAAUCAUUUGAUGUUUCAUUUACAAUGAAAAUUUUGUUGUUUAACCAUUUUAA